UUUUACUAGCCUGUCCCCGAGCCACUCUUUGAACUAAAAUAUGUCUUCCCUAAUCUAAAAUAUUAGUUUGUUGUUUGUUUUUGGAAGCAACGCUCAUAUUCUUUUGGUUUACUUUUUUUCUCAUUAGCAUUGUCUUAUUGCUUCCAUAAACAAUUAAGAAACUAAUAUUUUAUAUUAUAUAUGGAUGGGCAUUGCAUAGUCAUGGAACAUUAUUCUAUCAAGUUUAUUUCUUUUCUUUUCUUUUCUAUUU
rnacentral:lncRNA from 1 species